AGACGGAGGGGGCUAGCGUUGUUCGGAAUUACUGGGCGUAAAGCGCGCGUAGGCGGAUUGAUUAGUCAGAGGUGAAAUCCCAGGGCUCAACCCUGGAACUGCCUUUGAUACUGUCAGUCUUGAGUUCGGGAGAGGUGAGUGGAAUUCCGAGUGUAGAGGUGAAAUUCGUAGAUAUUCGGAGGAACACCAGUGGCGAAGGCGGCUCACUGGCUCGAUACUGACGCUGAGGUGCGAAAGCGUGGGGAGCAAACAGGAUUAGAAACCCCAGUAGUCC
rnacentral:rRNA from 1 species